GUGUGGCUUAAUGGAUAAGGUGUCUGACUUCCGAACAGGCAAUUGAGGGCUCAAGUCCCUUCAC
rfam:Chelonia mydas contig266820, whole genome shotgun sequence.